UUUUCUUUGAAACAAACUUGCUUUGGCGGUGGGCCCAGCCUGCCGCCAGAGGUCUAAACUUACAACCAAUUUUUUAUCAACUUGUCACACCAGAUUAUUACUAAUAGUCAAAACUUUCAACAACGGAUCUCUUGGUUCUCGCAUCGAUGAAGAACGCAGCGAAAUGCGAUACGUAAUAUGAAUUGCAGAUAUUCGUGAAUCAUCGAAUCUUUGAACGCACAUUGCGCCCUCUGGUAUUCCGGAGGGCAUGCCUGUUUGAGCGUCGUUUCUCCCUCAAACCGCUGGGUUUGGUGUUGAGCAAUACGACUUGGGUUUGCUUGAAAGACGGUAGUGGUAAGGCGGGAUCGCUUUGACAAUGGCUUAGGUCUAACCAAAAACAUUGCUUGCGGCGGUAACGUCCACCACGUAUAUCUUCAAACUUUGACCUCAAAUCAGGUAGGACUACCCGCUGAACUUAAGCAUAU
rnacentral:rRNA from 1 species